CCUCGUAACCCUAAUUCUAAUAUUAUAUCUCUCUCUCAUCGCGGCUUCCUUCUUCCUUUGUCCUUCAAGCUCUUCUUCUAGAGCUUCUUCCUUGUAAAAAUCUUGCCAUCGCCGCUAUUUUCGUCGGUGAAUCAAUCAGAAAACUUAAAAAAUGGCUUCUCCUAUUCAAGGCAAACCGGAUGAGCUGUCGGAUUUGGCAUUCUCGUGUACUCCGCCGCCGAUCGAGUUUUCCAAUUUCGGCUUUGGUGACGCUAUCAUCGACUUAGAAGUCACCGCCGAUUCGGAGUCUGACGGUGAAGAGCGGUUGGGUGUGGGGGUGAAGGAACAAAAAUAUCUUUCUCGUAAAUCCAAAAGCCCUCCGUCGCUUUCGAGGCGUUGUUGAUGUUUCUUCCAAUCUUUUGUCAGUUCGCUAUGAAUUUGAAGAAGUACCAAAAAGAGGAAUCAUUUGAAUGAAGCUAAAAAAUUGGAGUUCUGGACUUGUUCCAAGCACUGUCUGUUCUGCAGGUUACGAUUCAGAGGCUAUUAGACGGUUGAGAUAACAAAUGGCUAUCAAAUUCAUCACUGCUUCCACUUCCCAAAAUUCCGGAUCAUUUUCUUCAAUCACUAUCAGUUGGAUGGCGCAAUAUGUCAUCAUUGACACGACCUUCAGCACGCCAUCGCACGGAUGCUGCAAUUUUCUAAAAAAGAUUACCAUCUUUGUAAACGGUACCCCAAGGGUAAGUACUUCAUCUUCUUUAUUUCCGUCAUGGGGCUGCCCUAAAAAAUCCUACUUUUCCUGAAAAUGACACAUGCAAGGAGUUAUGCAUCCUCUUUUGUGAACAACACAUAGUUGUUUAUGCAUAUAUCUAUACUCCUACAAGUAAAAUCCAACUAAUUUGUUAUUUUGUUUACCUUAUAGUAAUUCAUUGGAAACACGACAUCAUCCGAUAUGGUAUCCUUCAAAAACUUUAACAAUAGGUCAACUGAAUUUUGUUUGACCACUAACACAGAAUCCUCAAAUGCAAGAGACAGGCAAUAAUUGAAAACUUGCUCAUCUUUUUACAGUCAGCUAUAAGGUCGUUCUACACCUAUUCUAACAUAUGUUUUUACCAUUUAUUAUUGUUGUCAAUCUCUCUUCAACUUGGAUGGUAUAAGUGUUAUAUUGAUUGUUCAUCUCAACUACGUCCUCGAGCACAACACACUCUCGUAAUAACACAUUUAACUCAUCUUCCCAGUGCGAUGUACCACAUUCGGGAACUGUGUUAGUGUUCAAUUUUUUAAAAUGAAAUUUAAGCUAAAUUUCAUAAUAAUGAUCAAAAUGAGUUAGAAAAUUAUCAACUCGCUAGAAAUAGAGUUAAAAUAACCACAAAUAUCCCUCUAGGUUGGAUGAUUUUGAUCUUAUUUCAUUAGUUUUUUUAGUAUGUUUGAGAACUUCGAUGAGAAUGAAUGACAUUUAGAGGGGUAAUUAAUUCUAAAAAUAAGCUUCAAUGCAAAAAAUCUAUGAAAAAAGAAACUGACUCAUUAGUUGAAAAUAAAACUUGGAAUUUGGUCCCUAAACAACCUAACUGUUUAAUAGUAAAUUUAAAUGGCUUUAUAAAGUAAAAUAAGAAGAAAAUGUUGUUAGGUUUACUGUUAGAUUAUUUUUCAAAGGAAUUAUACAAAAAAAAAUAGAAUAUAGACUAUAAUGAAAUAUUUGCCCGUGUCGCCAAAUUUACUAUUAUUCCUUUUGUCCGAGACCGAAACAUUGGCCGAAGAAUGCCGAGGGGUGACUUGCAGCGCGCCAACACAUAGAGGCUAACAGAGAUCCUUUGAGACAUUCCGGAACCUUCAGAAUGUUCCGGAACAUUCUAAAGGGUGUUCUUGAGUCAUGUGCGAGGCUAUACUAGCGACUUUUUGAGGGUGUUGAGGAACUACUAGACCGACUGGAAGGUGUUCGCGGAGGAACCAUCCAACCCAGUACAUUUUAAUGUUAUAUUUAGUUGCUUAUUUCUUUUAAAUUUAAAUAUUUUUUUUUUUUUAAAAAAAAGGAUGUUAA